UACGUAGGGUGCAAGCGUUAUCCGGAAUUAUUGGGCGUAAAGAGCUCGUAGGCGGUUUGUCACGUCUGCUGUGAAAACUGGAGGCUCAACCUCCAGCCUGCAGUGGGUACGGGCAGACUAGAGUGCGGUAGGGGAGAUUGGAAUUCCUGGUGUAGCGGUGGAAUGCGCAGAUAUCAGGAGGAACACCGAUGGCGAAGGCAGAUCUCUGGGCCGUAACUGACGCUGAGGAGCGAAAGCAUGGGGAGCGAACGG
rnacentral:rRNA from 1 species